GAGUUGUCAUCAAGGCUGUCAUUUUUUUUCAUCCGCGCGCGUGUUCGAUCCUGUUUGUGUGGCGCAGUUGAAAUCAAAAAUUCUCAAGUCGAAUCGCGUGUGCUCGUGAAGGAACAACAUCCGGCGUUCGGAACAAAUACACCGGGUGACCGAACCGGAACGGCGGGAUGGCGGAAUUUUCGCAUAUUUGGGGACUUCUUCUACCAGGCCCGGCGCCUGCUGCGGACACUUCCGGCCGGAUUUGUUCAGGAUGGUCGUUUCGUCUGGAGGCGAAAAUCGUUAGGGGCCUAUUCCACAGAGGAUUGUGCUUCAUAAAUACGCGAGAGUUCAUCCCAAGUACGAAGCAGUAGUUCCGGCACCGGCUACACAUAUUUCGAACAACGUCAGAAAGUUCGGAUUGAAGCAGAAUAUUGAAAGAAAACGACGCGGAAAAAAAGUACUAUUUUUUUUAAAUCAACGAAAAAAACUAUAAAAAUACAAUAAAACUUACCAUAUUGACCAUUAA